rnacentral:rRNA from 1 species
GACGAACGCUGGCGGCGUGCCUAAUACAUGCAAGUAGAACGCUGAAGCUUGGUGCUUGCACCGAGCGGAUGAGUUGCGAACGGGUGAGUAACGCGUAGGUAACCUGCCUGGUAGCGGGGGAUAACUAUUGGAAACGAUAGCUAAUACCGCAUAAUAGUAGAUGUUGCAUGACAUUUGCUUAAAAGGUGCAAUUGCAUCACUACCAGAUGGACCUGCGUUGUAUUAGCUAGUUGGUGAGGUAACGGCUCACCAAGGCAACGAUACAUAGCCGACCUGAGAGGGUGAUCGGCCACACUGGGACUGAGACACGGCCCAGACUCCUACGGGAGGCAGCAGUAGGGAAUCUUCGGCAAUGGACGGAAGUCUGACCGAGCAACGCCGCGUGAGUGAAGAAGGUUUUCGGAUCGUAAAGCUCUGUUGUAAGAGAAGAAACGAGUGUGAGAAGUGGAAAG